rnacentral:rRNA from 1 species
GUAGUCAUAUGCUUGUCUCAAAGAUUAAGCCAUGCAUGUCUGAGUAUAAACAACUUUAUACCGUGAAACUGCGAAUGGCUCAUUAAAUCAGUUAUAGUUUAUUUGAUAAUGCCUUACUACAUGGAUAACCGUAGUAAUUCUAGAGCUAAUACAUGCGAAAAAACCCGACUUCUGGAAGGGUUGUAUUUAUUAGAUAAAAAACCAAUACGGGGCAACCCGGUUUUUGGUGAGUCAUAAUAACUUUUCGGACCGCAUGGCCUCGUGCCGGCGGCGAUUCAUUCAAAUUUCUGCCCUAUCAACUUUCGAUGGUACGGUAUUGGCCUACCAUGGUUACAACGGGUAACGGGGAAUA